CACGUAGGGGGCGAGCGUUAUCCGGAAUUACUGGGCGUAAAGGGUGCGUAGGUGGUUUCUUAAGUCAGAGGUGAAAGGCUACGGCUCAACCGUAGUAAGCCUUUGAAACUGGAAAACUUGAGUGCAGGAGAGGAGAGUGGAAUUCCUAGUGUAGCGGUGAAAUGCGUAGAUAUUAGGAGGAACACCAGUUGCGAAGGCGGCUCUCUGGACUGUAACUGACACUGAGGCACGAAAGCGUGGGGAGCAAACAGGAUUAGAUACCCCCGUAGUCCCUGAGCGGG
rnacentral:rRNA from 1 species